UCGGAUUGUAGUCUGCAACCCGACUACAUGAAGCUGGAAUCGCUAGUAAUCGCGGAUCAGAAUGCCGCGGUGAAUACGUUCCCGGGUCCUUGUACACACCGCCCGUCACACCAUGGGAGUCGGAAAUGCCCGAAGUCUGUGACCCAACCGGAAGGAAGGAGCAGCCGAAGGCAGGUCUGAUGACUGGGGUGAAGUCGUAACAAGGUACC
rnacentral:rRNA from 1 species